AUGACCAAAAAACGUUCAAAAUAGCAGUUUUGGUCUGAUCAUCGUAAUUAAGCCACUUCGGGCCCGGCUGAUACUUGAAUCGGUGACCGAAAGGGAAUAUUGGGUGUUGCGGCU
rnacentral:rRNA from 1 species